AUUGAACGCUGGCGGCAGGCCUAACACAUGCAAGUCGAGCGAGCGGCGGACGGGUGAGUAAUGUAUGGGGAUCUGCCCGAUGGAGGGGGAUAACUACUGGAAACGGUGGCUAAUACCGCAUACCAUCGGAUGUACCCAGAUGGGAUUAGCUAGUAGGUGGGGUAACGGCUCACCAAGGCGACGAUCCCUAGCUGGUCUGAGAGGAUGAAAAGCCACACUGGAACUGAGAAACGGCCCAGACUCCUACGGGCGGCAGCAGUGGGGAAUAUUGCACAAUGGGGGCAAGCCUGACGCAGCCAUGCCGCGUGAAUGAAGAAGGCCUUCGGGUUGUAAAGUUCUUUCGGUGGCGAGGCGUUACCUGCAGAAGAAGCACCGGCUAACUCCGUGCCAGCAGCCGCGGUAAUAC
rnacentral:rRNA from 1 species